GAUCCUGGCUCAGGAUGAACGCUAGCGACAGGCUUAACACAUGCAAGUCGAGGGGCAGCGGGGUGUAGCAAUACACCGCCGGCGACCGGCGCACGGGUGAGUAACGCGUAUGCAACUUGCCUAUCAGAGGGGGAUAACCCGGCGAAAGUCGGACUAAUACCGCAUGAAGCAGGGAUCCCGCAUGGGAAUAUUUGCUAAAGAUUCAUCGCUGAUAGAUAGGCAUGCGUUCCA
rnacentral:rRNA from 1 species